rnacentral:rRNA from 1 species
UACGAAGGGGGCUAGCGUUGCUCGGAAUGACUGGGCGUAAAGGGCGCGUAGGCGGUUUGUACAGUCAGGUGUGAAAUUCCCGGGCUCAACCUGGGGGCUGCACUUGAUACGUAUGGACUGGAGUGGGGAAGAGGGUCGUGGAAUUCCCAGUGUAGAGGUGAAAUUCGUAGAUAUUGGGAAGAACACCGGUGGCGAAGGCGGCGACCUGGUCCUUGACUGACGCUGAGGCGCGAAAGUGUGGGGAGCGAACCAGG